UCAAUGAGGCUAGGUGCUUCCUCU
rnacentral:piRNA from 1 species